rnacentral:rRNA from 1 species
CCUACGGGUGGCCGCAGUGAGGAAUAUUGGUCAAUGGUCGCGAGCCUGAACCAGCCACGUCGCGUGAAGGAUGACUGCCCUACGGGUUGUAAACUUCUUUUAUCACGGAAUAAAGUGAGGCACGUGUCCCUUUUUGUAUGUACUUUAUGAAUAAGCAUCGGCUAACUCCGUGCCAGCCGCCGCGGUAAUACGGAGGAUUCGAGCGUUAUCCGGGUUUAUUGGUUUUAAAGGGUGCGUAGAUGGGUUGUUAAGUCAGUGGUUAAAGGUGGCGGCUCAACCGGAAAAUGGCAAUUGAUACUGGCAGUCUUGAGUACAGGUGAGGUAGGCGGAAUUCGUGGUGUAGCGGUGAAAUGCUUAGAUAUCACGAAGAACUCCGAUUGCGAAGGCAGCUUACUAAACUGCCACUGACAUUGAUGCUCGAAAGUGUGGGUAUCAAACAGGAUUAGAUACCCCAGUAGUC